UGACCAUUCAUUAACCUCUGUGUGCUGGGUUUACCACACACACUGUGAUCUGAAUCUGACCCAUGAGAGCCCAGGCUGGACCCUCUCACAGCUGACCUACACUACAGAACACCAGUAGCAAGUUCAGAUCAGCAACACUCACACUACGAGCUAUCAUGCUGUCGAGUGGGGUACUUGAAGACCUCGUGGACUAGCUGAAGGGCCAGAAAUCCAAUACAUCAAGAAGUCUGAGUCUGGUGCCAUGGUUCCCUGAGCUUCCUGUCCAUUCCUACCUGCUGCUUGCCGCCAUGCCUCUGCUGCUCCAGCAGGAACUCUAACCCUCUAGGAACUUCGAA
rnacentral:lncRNA from 1 species